GGAAAAAUGCAAACAGCUGAAGCAAUUAACCAAUCCUCUCAGAGGCUGCUGGAAGUAGGAGGGUUCUGAGUCAAUCUUCAAAAUGAAACCAUCCAGAUACACUGCAAGAAAUGGAGGAAUUUUCCAACACCAAAUGGGAAUGUGGACUCGUAAAAGAAGGAUGAAGUCAAAAUAUGGUCUGUAUCCUCACCCGGUGUAAUUUGGCAUGACUCCAUUGAUUUCUGAUCCCUUAUCUUUAAUGUCCUUCUCCUUUUUUAAUGAAAUAUGAUUCUAAAUCAAGAA